GACUCAGUUACUUAAACAGAAAGGAAGGUUACAGCUACAUCUACAAGCUCAAUUAGAUCUUGUUACUUUCAUUUUUUGGAGGAGGAGAAAGUGAGUCAUCGGGUGACUUAUGCAUAGAUGAUCAUGAUGAUGAUGACUUUGAUGUUGGCCAUGUGAGCCAAAAUUCUUGUGAAAGUGAAAGAAUCAACUGAUACAGACAGGGAAUGCAGACUUCCUUGAUUCAGAUGAUAAAGAAAACAGC
rnacentral:lncRNA from 1 species